rnacentral:rRNA from 1 species
GACGAACCGAGCGAACGUUGUUCGGAAUCACUGGGCGUAAAGGGCGCGUAGGCGGCCUGAUAAGUAGGGGGUGAAAUCCUGCGGCUUAACCGCAGGGCUGCCUUCUAAACUGUCAGGCUGGAGCACAGUAGAGGCAGGUGGAAUUCCCGGUGUAGCGGUGGAAUGCGUAGAGAUCGGGAAGAACAUCAGUGGCGAAGGCGGCCUGCUGGGCUGUUGUUGACGCUGAGGCGCGACAGCGUGGGGAGCAAACAGG